rnacentral:rRNA from 1 species
GAUGAACGCUGGCGGCGUGCCUAACACAUGCAAGUCGAGCGAUUCUCUUCGGAGAAGAGCGGCGGACGGGUGAGUAACGCGUGGGUAACCUGCCCUGUACACACGGAUAACAUACCGAAAGGUAUGCUAAUACGGGAUGAUAUGUUUUGAUCGCAUGGUCGAAAUAUCAAAGCCCCGGCGGUACAGGAUGGACCCGCGUCUGAUUAGCUAGUUGGUGAGGUAAUGGCUCAUCAAGGCGACGAUCAGUAGCCGACCUGAGAGGGUGAUCGGCUACAUUGGAACUGAGACACGGUCCAAACUCCUACGGGAGGCAGCAGUGGGGAAUAUUGCAAAAUGGGCGAAAGCCUGAUGCAGCAACGCCGCGUGAGCGAUGAAGGCCUUCGGGUCGUAAAGCUCUGUCCUCAAGGAGGAUAAUGACGGUACUUGAGGAGGAAGCCCCGGCUAACUACGUGCCAGCAGCCGCGGUAACAC